rnacentral:tRNA from 1 species
GCUGGGUUCGCAUAGUCCGGCCGAUUGCACCUGCCUUGUAAGCAGAAGAGCAUGAUGCUCCAUCGUGAGUUCGAAUCUCACACCCAGCUCCA